rnacentral:misc_RNA from 1 species
GGCAACCUGUUUCUGUUCAUGCUCUUGCUCUGAAGGCUUGAUGCUAGUCGGAGUAUUUGCCCCAGUACUGUUGUCACCUGGCCCUUGAAUGGGUUGACUCCCAAAAUCAGAAAUUCCUGAAGAACCACUUCCCUGAGAAGCCAUAGACCCUUGUGACAGAGGCAAUGAAUUUCCAACUGGACCAUUAUUACUCCCACCAUUUUCUUCAGGACGUUCAUCUAAAUCAACCUUAUCCUUAACCACUCGUAAUUUCUCCAUUCUCUUUCUUUUAGCCUCCAAACGCCUCAGAGAUUGCAACUCCUUCCUUUUUCUGCACUCCUCCUCACCCUCAACAGGUAAAGAACACGUCCUCGCAAUCGGACCAACAGAGAAUGAACAACGCCCAUUACUCUCAUCCCCGCCGGAAAACACAAAGUUUGAAAUUGAAG